GCUUUUCAUUUUAUUUUAUCACAUGAUAUCUUAGUGCUGUGAUUUAGUCAUUGGUUCAAUGAGCGAUCGAACCCUAUAGGAGUUUUAUUGACCUCUCAGUAUGUGAAGCCAAGAGUGGAUGCUUGUUGAUGUCUUCACUUUCUCUGUCCUGGGUGACUUCAAGUGCUUCUCUUUCUGUUCUCUUUUUACAUCUACAGAAAUACAUGUACAGAUAUUUCCAUUCACAAAUCAUGUAACAGAUUAUGAACAUGAGUCUGUUGAGAGACCCAGAGGUUUGUUGAUACCACUAAUCAGGUGUGUCCAAAGAUAUAGAGUUAAAAUAGCUUCCACAGUUAGUGCAGUUCCCUACGACUCAUUACCUAGUUCAUCAUUAGUUGACUAACAGACAACUACUAUCUUUCAUCCAGCUCUAUUGAAUCUGAACCCCAAAGCCAACUUCAAUGGACUCGUAUGGCAGAAUAGAGCACUAUGUAACGUGGGACAGUCGUGGUUGUGGAUAGGAGAAACCAACACAGUCAUAGCAGCUGUAUAGUACACGCCAGGACAUGCAUUUAAAACGCUGCCUUGUAAGAGGAUCACUGGGACAGUGUCCCAAAUGGCACCUAAUUCCCUAUGUAGUGCACUACUUUUCACCAGAGCCCCAUGGGCCUUGUUCAACAGGAAGGCACUAUAUAAGGAAUAGGAUGCCAUUUGGGAAGCAAAACAUGUGUUGUUCAGAGCAUCUGAAACAAGGUAAAUACACACAUCAUGAAGGAGUGAUUUGAUUGGCUCAUAAUAGAAUAGAAUAGAAUAGAAUGGCUGGUAAAUCUAUCUCUGUUAUUGAUGGUCAUAACACAUGGACCAGUCGUCCUAUCUAUAGUGUAUACAGCUUGAUUUCAGUUCACUUGUCUGACAUGUUCAAGGUUGUGUUUUGCAACUCAAAGGUGUGUCAUGUCACACACAGUUUGUUUGGUGGGUCAGAGACAAACGUCCGGAUUUUCAUCCACAGUUUGUAUGGAGGCCCCCAUUUCUGUUCUCAUUCUUGACAUUGUCUGUGAAUUCAUGGAACUGUGAGGUAUGUUAAAACACUGGACCCCAAGAUGUCCUAUCAGACCUGGUUUACUAGGACACUGAGAGAUGAUGAGGUAGAGGUCAUAUUGUUAGGAGAGGACUGUGUCCUAUCAGACCUGGUUUACUAGGACACUGAGAGAUGAUGAGGUAGAGGUCAUAUUGUUAGGAGAGGACUGUGUCCUAUCAGACCUGGUUUACUAGGACACUGAGAGAUGAUGAGGUAGAGGUCAUAUUGUUAGGAGAGGACUGUGUCCUAUCAGACCUGGUUUACUAGGACACUGAGAGAUGAUGAGGUAGAGGUCAUAUUGUUAGGAGAGGACUGUGUCCUAUCAGACCUGGUUUACUAGGACACUGAGAGAUGAUGAGGUAGAGGUCAUAUUGUUAGGAGAGGACUGUGUCCUAUCAGACCUGGUUUACUAGGACACUGAGAGAUGAUGAGGAAGAGGUCAUAUUGUUAGGAGAGGACUGUGUCCUAUCAGACCUGGUUUACUAGGACACUGAGAGAUGAUGAGGUAGAGGUCAUAUUGUUAGGAGAGGGGUGUGUCCUAUCAGACCUGGUUUACUAGGACACUGAGAGAUGAUGAGGAAGAGGUCAUAUUGUUAGGAGAGGACUGUGUCCUAUCAGACCUGGUUUACUAGGACACUGAGAGAUGAUGAGGAAGA